rnacentral:rRNA from 1 species
GAGUUUGAUCUUGGCUCAGAUUGAACGCUGGCGGCAUGCCUUACACAUGCAAGUCGAACGGCAGCACGGGAGCUUGCUCCUGGUGGGCGAGUGGCGAACGGGUGAGUAAUGCAUCGGAACGUAUCCUGGAGUGGGGGAUAACGUAGCGAAAGUUACGCUAAUACCGCAUAUUCUGUGAGCAGGAAAGCGGGGGACCUUCGGGCCUCGCGCUCUUGGAGCGGCCGAUGUCGGAUUAGCUAGUUGGUGAGGUAAAGGCUCACCAAGGCGACGAUCCGUAGCAGGUCUGAGAGGAUGAUCUGCCACACUGGAACUGAGACACGGUCCAGACUCCUACGGGAGGCAGCAGUGGGGAAUUUUGGACAAGUGGGGCAACCCUGAUCCAGCCAUGCCGCGUGAGUGAAG